CUUUGGCUCCUGAAUAAAAAGAGUAUUCUAACUAGAGACAAUUUGCUGAAGAAGGGCUGGAAAGGAGACAAACAUUGUGUUUUGUGUGGGAAAGAGGAGAAUAUUGAUCACCUCUUCUUCUCCUGCUCUGUUGCUAGACUCAUUUGGAGCCUGGUUGGGUGUGCUUUUGACCUUAAACUUAUUCCAAAAGAUUUGAAUGAUUGUUUUGGAAAUUGGUUGAAUAAAUUCAACAAAAAUGAUAAGAAAAUGGUUUUGACUGGUACCUUUGAUUUAUUAUGGGCAAUUUGGAAUAGUAGGAAUGAUAUUGUAUUUGGCAGGAAAAAUAUAAACGACCCAAUUGGGAUCGUUAAAAGAAUUUGCUAUUGGAUCGCUGACUGGGCUGUUUUGUAA
rnacentral:rRNA from 1 species